rnacentral:rRNA from 1 species
CAGUCGCCACGGGAAUACGUAGGUGGCAAGCGUUGUCCGGAGUUAUUGGGCGUAAAGGGCUCGCAGGCGGUUUCUUAAGUCUGAUGUGAAAGCCCCCGGCUCAACCGGGGAGGGUCAUUGGAAACUGGGAAACUUGAGUGCAGAAGAGGAGAGUGGAAUUCCACGUGUAGCGGUGAAAUGCGUAGAGAUGUGGAGGAACACCAGUGGCGAAGGCGACUCUCUGGUCUGUAACUGACGCUGAGGAGCGAAAGCGUGGGGAGCGAACAGGAUUAGAUACCCCCGUAGUCCCUGUCUCUUAUAC